GUGGGUGUGGUGCAACGGUUAGCACGACAGCUUGUGGAGCUGUAAACGGGGGUUCGACUCCCCUCACCUACC
rnacentral:tRNA from 1 species